rnacentral:tRNA from 1 species
UUGAAAAGGGUUGAAGGGCUGAUAACUAAGGUUUUUAAAGCCUUAGAUGGGGGUUAUCAAUCCCCUUGUCAAA